GACGAACGCUGGCGGCGUGCCUAAUACAUGCAAGUAGAACGCACAGUUUAUACCGUAGCUUGCUACACCAUAGACUGUGAGUUGCGAACGGGUGAGUAACGCGUAGGUAACCUGCCUGGUAGCGGGGGAUAACUAUUGGAAACGAUAGCUAAUACCGCAUAAUAUUAAUUAUUGCAUGAUAAUUGAUUGAAAGGUGCAAAUGCAUCACUACCAGAUGGACCUGCGUUGUAUUAGCUAGUAGGUGAGGUAACGGCUCACCUAGGCGACGAUACAUAGCCGACCUGAGAGGGUGAUCGGCCACACUGGGACUGAGACACGGCCCAGACUCCUACGGGAGGCAGCAGUAGGGAAUCUUCGGCAAUGGACGAAAGUCUGACCGAGCAACGCCGCGUGAGUGAAGAAGGUUUUCGGAUCGUAAAGCUCUGUUGUAAGAGAAGAACGGGUGUGAGAGUGGAAAGUUCACACUGUGACGGUAUCUUACCAGAAAGGGACGGCUAACUACGUGC
rnacentral:rRNA from 1 species